UACGUAGGGUGCAAGCGUUGUCCGGAAUUAUUGGGCGUAAAGAGCUUGUAGGCGGUUUGUCGCGUCUGCUGUGAAAUUUCGGGGGCUCAACCCCCGAACUUGCAGUGGGUACGGGCAGGCUGGAGUUCGGUAGGGGAGACUGGAAUUCCUGGUGUAGCGGUGAAAUGCGCAGAUAUCAGGAGGAACACCGGUGGCGAAGGCGGGUCUCUGGGCCGAUACUGACGCUGAGGAGCGAAAGCGUGGGGAGCGAACAGG
rnacentral:rRNA from 1 species